GAUGAAGAACGUAGCGAAAUGCGAUAAGUAAUGUGAAUUGCAGAAUUCAGUGAAUCAUCGAAUCUUUGAACGCACAUUGCGCCCGGUAGUAUUCUGCCGGGCAUGCCUGUUCGAGCGUCAUUUCAACCAUCAAGCCCCAGCACUUGUGUUGGGGGCCUGCGGCUGCCGCAGCCCCCUAAAAGCAGUGGCGGGCUCGCUAUCACACCGAGUGCAGUAGUUCAUCUUCUCUCCGGUCUUGUGAGGCGGGUUCCGGCCGUGAAACACCCCACUACAUUCAAGGUUGACCUCGGAUCAGGUAGGAAUACCCGCUGAACUUAAGCAUAUCAAUAAGCGGAGGA
rnacentral:misc_RNA from 1 species